AGAGUUUGAUCCUGGCUCAGGACGAACGCUGGCGGCGCGCCUAACACAUGCAAGUCGAACGGGACUAUGCAAGAUGAAGUUUUCGGAUGGAAUUUGUAUAGUUUAGUGGCGGACGGGUGAGUAACACGUGAGCAACCUGCCUUCGAGAGGGGAAUAACGGCUGGAAACGGUCGCUAAUACCGCAUAACAUACAGGAGGGACAUCCCUUUUGUAUCAAAGAUUUAUCGCUCGAAGAUGGGCUCGCGUCCGAUUAGGUAGUUGGUGAGGUAAUGGCCCACCAAGCCGACGAUCGGUAGCCGGACUGAGAGGUUGAACGGCCACAUUGGGACUGAGACACGGCCCAGACUCCUACGGGAGGCAGCAGUGGGGGAUAUUGCACAAUGGGGGAAACCCUGAUGCAGCGACGCCGCGUGUAGGAAGACGGUCCUCUGGAUUGUAAACUACUGUCCCCAGGGACGAAGAUGACGGUACCUGGGAGGAAGCUCCGGCUAACUACGUG
rnacentral:rRNA from 1 species